rnacentral:tRNA from 1 species
GCGGGUGUAACUCAGUGGUAGAGUGCGACCUUGCCAAGGUCGAUGUCGAGGGUUCGACCCCCUUCACCCGCUCCA